rnacentral:rRNA from 1 species
GUGGGGAAUUUUGGACAAUGGGGGCAACCCUGAUCCAGCCAUGCCGCGUGAGUGAAGAAGGCCUUCGGGUUGUAAAGCUCUUUCAGCCGGGAAGAAAUCGGCGCCUCUAACAUAGGCGUCGGAUGACGGUACCGGACCAAGAAGCACCGGCUAACUACGUGCCAGCAGCCGCGGUAAUACGUAGGGUGCGAGCGUUAAUCGGAAUUACUGGGCGUAAAGCGUGCGCAGGCGGUCUUGUAAGACAGAUGUGAAAUCCCCGGGCUUAACCUGGGAACUGCGUUUGUGACUGCAAGGCUGGAGUACGGCAGAGGGGGGUGGAAUUCCUGGUGUAGCAGUGAAAUGCGUAGAUAUCAGGAGGAACACCAAUGGCGAAGGCAGCCCCCUGGGCCUGUACUGACGCUCAUGCACGAAAGCGUGGGGAGCAAACAGGAUUAGAAACCCUAGUAGUCC